rnacentral:rRNA from 1 species
AGUGAACGCUGGCGGUAGGCCUAACACAUGCAAGUCGAACGGCAGCACAGGAGAGCUUGCUCUCUGGGUGGCGAGUGGCGGACGGGUGAGGAAUACACCGGAAUCUACCUUUUCGUGGGGGAUAACGUAGGGAAACUUACGCUAAUACCGCAUACGACCUACGGGUGAAAGUGGGGGACCGCAAGGCCUCACGCGAUUAGAUGAGCCGAUGUCCGAUUAGCUAGUUGGCGGGGUAAUGGCCCACCAAGGCGACGAUCGGUAGCUGGUCUGAGAGGAUGAUCAGCCACACUGGAACUGAGACACGGUCCAGACUCCUACGGGAGGCAGCAGUGGGGAACAUUGGACAAUGGGCGCAAGCCUGAUCCAGCCAUACCGCGUGGGUGAAGAAGGCCUUCGGGUUGUAAAGCCCUUUUGUUGGGAAAGAAAUCCUGUCGAUUAAUACUCGGUGGGGAUGACGGUACCCAAAGAAUAAGCACCGGCUAACUUCGUGCCAGCCGCCGCUGUAAUAC